rnacentral:rRNA from 1 species
UGCGGAAGGAUCAUUACCGAGUUUUCGAGCUCCGGCUCGACUCUCCCACCCUUUGUGAACGUACCUCUGUUGCUUUGGCGGCUCCGGCCGCCAAAGGACCUUCAAACUCCAGUCAGUAAACGCAGACGUCUGAUAAACAAGUUAAUAAACUAAAACUUUCAACAACGGAUCUCUUGGUUCUGGCAUCGAUGAAGAACGCAGCGAAAUGCGAUAAGUAAUGUGAAUUGCAGAAUUCAGUGAAUCAUCGAAUCUUUGAACGCACAUUGCGCCCCUUGGUAUUCCGGGGGGCAUGCCUGUUCGAGCGUCAUUACAACCCUCAAGCUCUGCUUGGAAUUGGGCACCGUCCUCACUGCGGACGCGCCUCAAAGACCUCGGCGGUGGCUGUUCAGCCCUCAAGCGUAGUAGAAUACACCUCGCUUUGGAGCGGUUGGCGUCGCCCGCCGGACGAACCUUCUGAACUUUUCUCAAGGUUGACCUCGGAUCAGGUAGGGAUACCCGCUGAACUUAAGCAUAUCAAUA